UACGAAGGGGGCUAGCGUUGUUCGGAAUUACUGGGCGUAAAGCGUACGUAGGCGGACAUUUAAGUCAGGGGUGAAAUCCCGGGGCUCAACCCCGGAACUGCCUUUGAUACUGGGUGUCUUGAGUGUGGAAGAGGUGAGUGGAAUUGCGAGUGUAGAGGUGAAAUUCGUAGAUAUUCGCAGGAACACCAGUGGCGAAGGCGGCUCACUGGUCCACAACUGACGCUGAGGUACGAAAGCGUGGGGAGCAAACAGG
rnacentral:rRNA from 1 species